rnacentral:rRNA from 1 species
GUGAGGAAUAUUGCGCAAUGGAGGCAACUCUGACGCAGCCAUGCCGCGUGCAGGAAGAAGGCGCUACGCGUUGUAAACUGCUUUUAACCGGGAAGAAACCCCAGGACGUGUCCUGGGUUGACGGUACCGGAGGAAUAAGCACCGGCUAACUUCGUGCCAGCAGCCGCGGUAAUACGAAGGGUGCAAGCGUUAUCCGGAUUCAUUGGGUUUAAAGGGUGCGUAGGCGGAGCGUUAAGUCAGUGGUGAAAUCCUGCAGCUUAACUGUAGACUUGCCAUUGAUACUGGCGCUCUUGAGUGCGCUUGAAGUGGGCGGAAUGUGCCGUGUAGCGGUGAAAUGCUUAGAUAUGGCACAGAACACCAAUUGCGAAGGCAGCUCACUAAGGCGAUACUGACGCUGAGGCACGAGAGCGUGGGGAUCGAACAGGAUUAGAUACCCGGGUAGUCC